CACGUGAGUUGCGAGCGUUGUUCGGAAUUAUUGGGCGUAAAGGGCAUGUAGGCGGUAAUGCAAGUCUGGUGUGAAAUGCCGGGGCUCAACCCCGGAACUGCGUUGGAAACUGCAUCACUUGAGUCACUGAGGGGCAGCCAGAAUUCCAGGUGUAGGGGUGAAAUCUGUAAAUAUCUGGAAGAAUACCAAUGGCGAGGGCAGGCUGCCAGCAGAUGACUGACGCUGAGGUGCGAAGGUGAGGGGAGCAAAC
rnacentral:rRNA from 1 species